ensembl:lncRNA
AAAAUCAGCAAAAUUGCUAAUUUUCAUACAAAUUUGGUUAUCAUAAAGGUCGGCAAAUCAGAUUUUAUCUUUUUUUUUGGGGGGGGGGGGGGGGUAAUCUUAACGAUAUUUAGAGAAUUUGACCCAAAGAAGAGGUAUAAACCAGUGUUCAACUUGUUUUAAGCUAAGGAAAAAUCUUUUUGACAGAACUUGGAAUCCGAAUGUCCUGCUGGAUAUCAAGUUUCAAUAAGUUUGGUAAUAAUUAAGAUUCUAGUCCUUGGGGCUUCAGAGUUAUGAAACCAAAUGCAAUCGCUUUACUGUCGCAUACUGCACGUUUGGGACCCUCUUGUGGCCAAGUUUGGGUCAGUUUACGUCAAUACACUUUAAGAGCAAUUAAAUAAUAGAGAAGAGGAACAUCAGUACCAAUAUCAGUAAACCAGAAGAGUGAAAACGAGUUAUCCCGUCCUCAGACAGAGUAAACUCGCUUCACCUCCCUUUUCUUUUUUUUUUUUUGCAACAUUUAUGGUUUCAUUUGUUAUUUUUGCAGUCUUCUCUGUCUUUGAGUUAGAUGGGCGGGAUUUCUGGUAGGCUGGUGUUUUGUGUGUAUACUGUGUAAAUGAUAAAGUAUUUAAAGUAUCGCGUUAGUGUUGCGCUCGAGAAUGUCCUUGAGAAGUUCUGGGACGACGUGCGCAGUUCGCGGCUGUCACUAUAACAGAACGAAACUAAACAUGUGGCUAAAACAAGAGUGUUAUGAUCACAAACCGCUCACAAAAUCAGAGUGUUCCUGUCCGCAGUGGUUUUCCUUCUUUCGACUGCCUGCUGCCGAGGAGGACAGGAGGAUUUGGCUAUUUGAAAAAGCCACCAAACAAUCUGUACGUGUGCAGCUUUCACUUUGUUGACAAGAAACCUACAGCAGAGAAUCCUUAUCCAACACUAUGGCUCGGCUAUUACAGACCUCCGGAAAAGAAGCGCCGUAAACUGCAAAGAAAAGAUACCAGCACGGUGUCUACAGAUGAGUGCGGUGAUGCAAGAAGUGAGGAUGUUACGUACCGUGAUGCUGAGGUUCUGGAUGGAUGCUACACUGGAAGACCAAAAUAAUGUGCUUUAAUGAGAUCCAGCAUCAAUACAACAAAGAGUUUGGUUUCAAAUGUAUGUGUGUCUAUCUCAGUGCUUCCAGAAGAGCUGUUGAAGUUUAGUAUUUUUAAUGAUGCUCAUGAAACUGAAGCUUAAUUCAGUCAUAACUGAUCUGUCACAUCAUUUGGGAGUUUCUUGGGAUUGUUAGUGUGUGGACUGACGUGAUGUCUGAAGCGCUUGUCCCAGCUGCUACCCCACGACGCCUUCACUUUGACCAAAGCGACCUGCACUUCAGCAGGUUCCUCAGUAGCACAUGCAUCAUUAGUCUCUGUUCAGAGAGUGUGCUUUAACCAAAGAACCUGGAUGCAAAAAGUGAGAAAGUAACAUGCAAAAGGGAGAAUGUUAUGACACUUUUAUUGUAAGGAAAAAAAGAUGCAAUGAAAGUGAAUGAUGCUAAACACUUCCAUUUUCUGUUUCUCUAAAUAAAGUCACACAAAUAAAGUGAAGUUAUCUUUGC